UACGAAGGGGGCUAGCGUUGUUCGGAAUUACUGGGCGUAAAGCGCGUGUAGGCGGCAACGCAAGUCGGGCGUGAAAUCCCACGGCUCAACCGUGGAAGUGCACUCGAAACUGCGUAGCUAGAGUCCUGGAGAGGAAGGUGGAAUGCUUGGUGUAGAGGUGAAAUUCGUAGAUAUCAAGCGGAACACCGGUGGCGAAGGCGGCCUUCUGGACAGUGAAUGACGCUGAGACGCGAAAGCGUGGGGAGCAAACAGG
rnacentral:rRNA from 1 species